GAUCAUAUAUAUAGCAAGGGUUGGCCGGCCAUGUGCUAUUUGAGGUGGUGUGAACCCAACUUAAUAAAGAUAAAAUCUCAUUUUAACUAAGUCAAGUCAAGUGGGCAAGUGGGAGGAAAACACUUGAGUGUUUUUGAGAUAAAUUAGAUAGUAUAUAACUCUUCCAUCCCUCCCCAACCGACCACACCACCCUCUCUCAUUCACUCAUCUGAUUUUUGAAGACCUCUCAAAGUGUUCUCUCCAUUUUUCAAGCCCAAGAACACCAAGGAAACUUUGAGGCUAAGUCUUGGUCUAGGAAGUAUUUUCCCUAAGUUUGUUAGGGUUUUUGAAAGGUUUUGAAGGAGUCAAAGCUUAUAGGAAGGUCCAAACCUUAAGCAAGAACACUAAAGAGGUAAGGGCAAGGGCAGGGCAGAGCAGUGAGCGCUGGAGUCUUCCUUGCAAAUGUACAUGUGGACCGACCUUUUGGGAAGCCUUUUUAUUUUUGGAAAUGUUGUGUAAUUUUCCUAAACUAGGCUCACUCUAAUCUUUGUAAAACAUGUUUGUAACUAAAUGUUAAGUAUGGCCAUACGACUUUUUAAAAAGUUUUUUUUUCUAUGGGUUUUUGAGACAUUUUGUUAAAUUAAAACAUUUAUAUUUCCGCAUUAUCGAG